rnacentral:lncRNA from 1 species
CACCAUUAAAUUUCACUCCCCUUCUUUCUCGAGCUGCAAUGAUUCUUCUUCUCCAUGCCACCUUGUUUGUUAAUUAGAUCUGCCGUUACCAUAUCCAUACUUCUCCUUUCCUUUCUUUCUCCGAUCAUCUUCUUCCCCUUUUUUUGCAGACCAUCAUCUUCUUUCCCUAUUUUUUCAGGCCAUCAUCUUCUUUCUCUUUUUUAACCAGUCAUUAACCCACCUCCCACCAUUGGCACCACCUCAUUUUUCUCCAAAUCUAUCGUUGUCAAUAUCUUUCUUUUUAGCCUUUCAAACAAUCAAUCACAAAUUUUAAUUUGUUCAUCGAAAAACACUGCCACCACACAUCUCUUUCUUUCUGCCAAAUCAAC